rnacentral:rRNA from 1 species
AUUGAACGCUGGCGGCAGGCCUAACACAUGCAAGUCGAGCGAUCGGCGGACGGGAGAGUAAUGUAUGGGGACUGCCCGAUAGAGGGGGAUAACUACUGGAAACGGUGGCUAAUACCGCAUACUAUCGGAUAACCCAUAUGGGAUUAGCUAGUAGGUGGGGUAAAGGCUCACGUAGGCGACGCUCUCUAGCUGGGCUGAGAGGAUGAUAGGCCACACUGUGACGGAGACACGGCCCAGACUCCUACGGAGGCAGCAGUGGGGAAGAUUGCACAAUGGGCGCAAGCCUGAUGCAGCCAUGCCGCGUGUAUGAAGAAGGCCUUAGGGUUGUAAAGUACUUUCAGCGGGGAGGUGUUACCCGCAGAAGAAGCACCGGCUAACUCCGUGCCAGCAGCCGCGGUAAUAC